rnacentral:rRNA from 1 species
AGGAUUUUAGUCCAACCUAAAGCAACCCCAAACCCAAUUAAUUGGCCCCCCCCACCUUUAGAGUAACUCAAACGAGGUACAGCCCAUUUGACACAGGAUACAACCUUCACUAACGGGUAAAAUCUUAACUAACAUCUUUAAGUAGGCCUAAUAGCAGCCAUCUUUCAAAAAGCGUCAAAGCUUAACCGUGUUACCUUAAUUUGAAUAUUCACACUGACCCCUUUAACUGUAUUGAGAGCUUCUAUAAUCUUAUAGAACCCCUAAUGCUAAAACUAGUAACAAGAGAAAACCCUCUCCUAAAUGCAAGCAUAAGCCAACAAGAACCCAUCACUGGCAACUAACGACCCCAGAGUAGCAACCCCCACUAGAAAACCCUACCUUCCCCCCCCCGUUAACCUAACACCAGAGCAUUUCAAGAAAGAUUAAAAGAAAGAAAAGGAACUCGGCAAAUUUCAACCCCGCCUGUUUACCAAAAACAUCGCCUCUCGACCCCAUGAGAGGUCUAGCCUGCCCAGUGACUCUGUUCAACGGCCGCGGUAUUCUAACCGUGCAAAGGUAGCGUAAUCACUUGUCUUCUAAAUGGAGACCAGUAUGAAGGGCACCACGAGGAUUAAGCUGUCUCCUCUCUCUAAUCAGUGAACUUAAUCUCCCCGUGAAGAAGCGGGGAUCUAAAUAUAAGACGAGAAG